ACAGAUGAACAACGUAAACAGCUGUGACGAUAAGUAAAUGUAAACAACAAAGAUGAGAUGUUGAUAUAAACUAACAAAAACAUUAUUAAUCCACUUCACUCUUCCAGAUCGGGCCCCGGUUCCGGACCGCCCAACCAUGAGAAGAUCACCUAGAUUAGAUGGCCAUCGGCCUAUGCCGGCUGUUAUGUCAACUCUCCCCAUCAAGAAAAAUUUAGCCGGACAUUUCUCUCUUCAGAUACAGUAUAAUUGGUAGCAUUUCUGAUCGUUAUUAACAUUUAAUCUUAUUUCUAUUCCCCUGCAGGUUAUCUUCAAGCUGCUAUUGAUAAUUUCGUACACGCGAACAUUUCCGGCAUUUUAAAUCAGGUGGAUACGAUAAAGCAGGAGACAUAAAAAAACGACAAUGAGGAGUCUGCGUCUGACUCUACCGUUUACUCAGGCGAGGAGGCACGAACUGGAACAGACUAACUCGGACGAUAUGGGCGUGGUCUCGCCCGUGGCCGCCUCUUCGUCGUGUGAGUCCCGUCCGUGAUGGAUCGUCUCUCCGUCGUGUGGAUUACGCCGAUACUUGGCCGUGCUUUGAAAAUACGGCCCGAGAAUAUCUGGGUUGAUCUGGCCAACGUCCUCCGGGUCGGGAUUCAAGCGUUGUGUGCCACUGAAUGGCUGCGGCUGCUCUAAUAAAGUAUCGCUUUUAUAGUUGUUUUAAAUGACGACAGUGUGUUUCUGGUGUAUUAUUGUUUCGUGUGUUAACGCUCUUGUGCACCAUUUCUUUUGCAAUACGUUAGCACAUAAGGAAUUAUCUUGGCAAUUAACUAAUAAAGAAAGCCCGUCAUGAACAA